UGGGGACCUUGGUGGCAGCGGGGAUUCGGAACAGGGCCCACAUGGUGCCUGCUGCCUUCCUCUCUCCUGCAUCGGCCUCCUCCCCCUCAUACAAGGGAAACUGAGGCAGCGACAUGCCUGGCUGCAGAACAAGGCUACUGUCCCAGAGAGGGAAGGAAGCUGCCUGUUGGGUGAAGCCCUCCUGGGGUCCCACUUCCAUGGGUCACUUUGGAGGCUCACUUCUUCCCUCUCCUUUGCGAAAGACACCCAGCCAGGUCCUGAGUCGCCUCCUUCAGAGCAUCUCGCUGUGCACACUACCUGCCCGAGUCACUUGGGAGCCGC
rnacentral:lncRNA from 1 species